GUUGUGCCAGGUGCUGCAGCCAAACCUAAAGGUUUGGAUGAAUGCUGCAAAAGGUGCAGGAGGAACUGCGACCACCUGAUUAUACAGGUGGGGGAUGAAAUUAUGCAGAGAUUAAGGGUGGUGCCCAUAUUGCCAUAUUAGUUAACCCAGGGAGCAGAGGUCGGUGCAGCGGUGGGUGUGCCGUGCGGUAGCCGUGAGCCUUGCUGUGCGCUUCCCAAGCAGUCCCGCUGCUGCAAGACCAGGCUUUCCGCCUUCUGUCGGGAGGAAGAAGGAGCGAGCCACUAAAGGAGCAGCAAAGAUAAACACAAGCAGUGCUGAGGGCCACAGGAGGAGCUGCCUGGAGGAUCCCAUAGGCUGUUCACCCUUCAGAGUGCCUCUGUGCUCUUGGGUGCCCUGCUCCCAAAGAAAACACCCAAACUCCAGCUGUGCUUUGGGCCCAUCACUGGGAUGUCACAGAGCAUGCUUUACCUGCACUCAGCAUGAGUCUCAGCCCCCAAAACCACCUGGAGAGUGGGGCUGUGCUGCAGGAUGUCAGGGGAGAAGGGACAAGGGCCUUUCCUGGCAAGAGGCUGACGUGCAGUGGCACCUGGACCAGUGGCUGGCUUGUCCUCUCAGAAACAGUGACAAGGAGACAUUUACAUGUGAGUGGGAGAAAAGCAGCUUGGAAAAUGAACCAGAAGGCCCUGGAAGUUCACCUCGAGCACACCGGUGGCCACCCGCAGCACCAUGGCCUGGGGCUUGCCUGCUGGUGGGCACCCCAGCUGCUGUGCUGGGUGCCUCGGGGCAAAGCUUGGCGUCGAGCUGCAGGACAGAAAGUUUGAGGAAACAGAGGCUUAGGAGAUGGUGGCAGGCAGCCCCAUCCCACAGGAUGGGGGUCAGAUGGGCUCGGAGGGCUCCGUACCCUCCAGAGGCCGUAGCUGAGAGCCGGGACCGUAACCAUGGCAGCAGCAGCUCCUGCAUCGCCACACGGCUUGGGGACACGAGAAACAGGAAAAAGACCAAAAAAAUAAAAUAAAAAAAAAUUAGAAAUUCUAAUAAUUCUCUAAGCCUGCUGGCGGAUCUGGCUUGCUGAAUGCCUCUCGCCCCGGCGGGGCCCACCCCUGGGCACCGGUUGCAGAUGGGGUUGGGGUUCGCAGAGGAUGCCAAGCGCUUGCUCUGGGAAAUCAGCACGGCUGGAGGUGGGGAAGGGGCUCCGCCGGCUGCCACGCUCCUGCAGCUCUCAUUACACUAAUAGGGAGCACGGGGCAGAGGCAUGGGUGUCAGCACCCUUGCUGUGCACUUAAUAAAGCGCCUGAAGCUCCUCUAUACUUUUUUAUU
rnacentral:lncRNA from 1 species